GGCGCCCGGCUCCCGCGGAGGAGGAGCCUCAAGAUGGAGGCGAGGCGGUGACCGCAGGGGGUCCUGGGAAGGAAAUGGCGGCGGCGGAGCCGGGGCGAGGGACUCCAGUCCCAGCGCGAUGUGCCUACUUCGUGGAGAGGAAGAAGCGGUUCUGCAAGAUGACCCCGGCUGCUGGGAGGCGCUUUUGCGGAGAGCAUGGGCAGCAGGAGGAAGAAAAUGAUAGAAAAAGAAUUCCGUGCCCUCUUGAUCCAAAACACACUGUAUAUGAAGACCAACUACAAAAGCAUUUAAAAAAAUGUAAUUCAAGAGAGAAGCCAAAGCCAGUCUACUUUGUUCAAGAUAUUAAUGCAGGUUUAAAAGAUGUAGCAGAAAUACCAGAAAAACAAGUACCUAUCUCUUCUCUAUCCAAAGAAGAGCUGGAGAACUUAAUUAUCAAGUUGAAAAAAGCAAGUAAUGGCCUGGAACUUUGCCUUAAGGAACGAAUACUGUCCCACCAGGCUUUACAAGAAGCCUUAAAUGACCCAAAGAAUGGGGAAUCUGCUUUCAAACACUUGAAACAACAGGCUUCUAUUUUAGGUAACAUGGAAAAAUUACAUUUACUUGGUCCAGGAAGAUGUUUUGUUGAGUUUGGAGCUGGGCGAGGAAAGCUGUCUCAUUGGGUUGAUGUUGCUUUACAGAAUGUUGAAAAUGUUCAGUUUUUGCUUGUGGAAAGGGCAACUACAAGAUUCAAGGUGGAUGGAAAACAUAAAAGGAGAGAUUCUAUAUUUGAAAGGCUUCAAGUUGAUAUUCAACAUCUAUGUUUAAAGAAGGUACCUGUUCUGGAGAAGAAAAAACUACCAGUGGUAGGAAUUGGGAAGCAUUUGUGUGGUGCUGCAACAGAUCUUGCUUUGAGGUGCUUGGUUGAAAGUUAUACAGCUUGCUGUGAUGGAGAAAAUGAGCAGCCUGCACCAAAACGCUCUAGGACUGAUACGACAGAGGUGGCUUCUAAUAAUUCUGCUGAUAAUGAAGGCAACAAAGACGACUGUAAGCCUGUAGCUGGAAUUGUUAUUGCACUGUGUUGCCAUCACAAGUGUGACUGGACACACUAUGUAGGCAGAGAGUUCUUUAAAUCAGUAGGACUUGGACCAGUAGAAUUUCAUUAUUUUCAGAGAAUGAGUAGCUGGGCCACUUGUGGCCUGCGAGAAACCACAACCAAAGCCUCUACAAGUGAAGAUCAAACUAGUGACACAGAAGAACAUGAGCAAACAUUCAGCAAAACAGAGAGUGGUUCUGAUACUUUACAAGGGAUACUUACUGUUGAAGAACGAAAGGAGAUAGGUUGCCUCUGUAAACUGCUGAUUGAUCAUGGACGGAUUGAAUAUUUACAACAACGAGGAUACAAGGCUGUGCUACAGUAUUAUAUAGAGUCUACUGUGUCCUUGGAGAAUGUCCUGUUGACAGCUGUCCCAAGUCCAUCUUUGAUACCAGAGCCAACUCAUGUAUGACAGGAGAUAGAUUUGGAAUUGGUUUUAAGCCUUAUUGUAUCACUUAUUAUAUCACAAGCGGAUGAGUGGAUAAGAACAAGAGUGCAAAUGCCUGCAUCCUCCCAGCUUUGCAAGCCACAUAAAGGACUGUCAUAAAGAAUACAACAAUACUCAAAGGAAACCCCGUAUCCAUGAUAAUCACUUAACCUUUGGUUGAAAAUGUCAUUGGCGAGAAAUACUUGAUACUGAAUUUAUUGUUUGUUGUUUAUUGAAUGGAUUAUUUCAGCUCGUCCAAAAUACCACAUUAGAGCUGAUAAAUCUUAAGUAAGUUUGUAGUGAGGUUAACAUUAAAAUAAUCUUUUGAAGUAGGAUUUAAUAAUUAGAAUUUCAAUGCAAUGGAAUUGAGACUAAGAUGUGAGCUUUAAUCCUCAUUUACCUGUCAAUUGCAUCAGGAAGCUCCUGGAGUUUAUUUCCCCCCAUAUCUAACCAUUCUAGAUUUGGCAUGUUGAGAAGAGCUGAAGGGAUGGUAGUAAACUGAUUCAUGCACAAAUCUAUGUGUGAAAGCUUCUUUAAAUCACUGAGCUGAAAAGAAAGGGAGAUUUAAUGCAAGUUUGUAUAGCUGUUCCAUUACACCAGUGCUGUAAUAAUGUUGACUGAAAAAAAGAAACAAUUUAAAAACAUUACAACAUAUUCCAGAGUUAAUAAACACGGAAUAGUUUCUGAGUUACAUUAGCUGAUAUUGCCUAACAAUUACAGUUCUCCCCUGAAAGGUAGGUAGGUUUGAAACUGAUCAGGCAGAAGAACUUUAUCUCCCACCUGGUAGUAAGUGCCCUAACUGCUGAGAAGUUAAAUGCCAUGACUACAAUACAGAUAUACCCCAAGCCUUGAGAAGAAAAGGAAUUUUAAAGACACCACUGUCCUUAGUAUUUCAUACUCCAUGCAAUAUGCCAUUUUUCAUUAGUCAAAAUUUAGAUUUUUAUGGAUCACAUUGCAUAGACUGUAUCUUAGAGUGAACCUAGAACCUUCCAUGUUGUGAAGUCUAUGACUAUGGCAAGAUAUUCUAAAAAUUAAACAUAGCAUCACUCAGUAUUGCAACAUCUAAGUCCUUUGGUGAAUCAUGCCUGCAGGUGCUUUUACAAUGUUCAAGUGAUACAAAGAUGAUUUAUUGCAAAUCUGGUCCAAUGUCUAAACACUGAAUGCCACUCAAGUACACAUAACCAAAGCUUCACGGUGUUGACUUCACUGUAGUCUCAAUAGGACAGAACUAUGUAUUUGCUAUGAGCUGUUAAUUUAAAAGCUGUCACUCUACAUUACCAUGUAACCUGUAUCCACAUAGAUUUUAUAAAUUCUGGAUUCUGGUUAAUACCAUAUAUUUUCAUUUGAAGAUCUGUUGUUAGGUAUUACUGUUUGGACUCACUUAAUUUUGCAAGGCACUGAUUGCUGUCAUUGCCACUACUGUUUUUUUUAAAUAGAUUAAAACAAGUAAAUAUGGUUACAUACUUGUCAUCUCUAUCUAAGAGACUAAUAGUUAGAGAUGCAGGUCUCUUUCAUGUUUAGGUCAGUCCAAAUUAAAGCUCAAUAGUAGGUGAGGAGUUGUUUUUAUUCUCUCUUAAUUGCUUUCAACAGCGCAGAACAUUCAUUCAACUCGGUGCAGAGGCAGUUGUAUAAAUCACACAAAUGCUUUUCACAGCUAGCAGCUCUGGUAAAGAUGCUUACAGUUGUGUCCUGGUACAUGGUGUGAAUUUGUAUUCUCAACUAUAAAAGGGAACUUCUCUGCUAAGGUGUCAGAUCCUCAGUGGGGUAAAUCAGUGAAGACCUUCAGCCUAAACAAAUUAACAUCAAGUGUAUCACUGUCCUGUAUGCACUACCAAGUUAUUUUUCUGGACAAAAUAAAGAUUGUCUCCUUCAACCA